rnacentral:rRNA from 1 species
UACGUAGGGUGCAAGCGUUAAUCGGAAUUACUGGGCGUAAAGCGUGCGCAGGCGGCUUCGCAAGUCAGACGUGAAAUCCCCGGGCUUAACCUGGGAAUGGCGUUUGAAACUACGGAGCUGGAGUAUGGCAGAGGGGGGUGGAAUUCCACGUGUAGCGGUGAAAUGCGUAGAUAUGUGGAGGAACACCGAUGGCGAAGGCAGCCCCCUGGGCCUGCACUGACGCUCAUGCACGAAAGCGUGGGGAGCAAACAGG